ACCGCCGCUCAAAAUGACGAAACUACCCAUACUCCUCCUCCUUCUACUCUGCCUCUCCUCAUUCACCGCCGGCGAAAUAAAAAAACUCAAAAUCCGAUCUGAUAACCGGCCCAUGAUCCUCUUCGAACGGUUCGGAUUCACACACACGGGUCAAACAUCAAUCUCUGUCUCCUCCGUCUCUGUGAUCUCCACCGUAACAUCGCCUGACGCUUCCCGCCUCGGAUUCUUCCUCUUAUCUGAAGAAUCCCUAAUUCAAGUCCUAAUUGAGCUUCAACAAAACCCUAAUUUCUGUGUCCUUGAAUCAAAUUACAUUCAACGCCUUUUCACUUUUCGUGAUCUUUCGCCUCCGCCUAAUUCGUCCUUCGAUCGAGCUUACCCUGUAACUUCACCUAAUGAAUACUCUCUGUUUUUUGCUAAUUGUGCACCUGAAUCGAAGGUGUCUAUGGAUGUACGAACUGAGCUUUAUAAUCUCGAUGGCCGUGUUAAAGAUUAUCUCUCUGCAGGUUUUGUUCGAUUACCUACUUUGUAUUUUGUUCUGAUAUAUUACCCAAUUUGUAUUUUUUUUGUUUGGGUUAUUUUGUGUUUUUGGAUAUAUAGAUGUAUGUGUGUUUGAAGAAUAGGAAAUCUGUGCAUUUGAUCAAGUGAAUUUCCAUCAUAUGGCUGCAAAAUAUGAUAGUGAAAGUGUUUUUUCAUGAAUUAUGACGGUGGUGUCGGGUCAGGUUGGGCACCGGGUACCUGCUGCCUCGCAGUCUCCAACACACGUACCGGUUAACUGUGCCCGCAGAAAUCACCUUGAUGGAAGGGUUCUUCUGGUUUGAUAUGGGGAAAAUUUUUUCCCAGUAAAAUAUUUUCCUUUGUGAAAUCAUUUGUUUUAGCUUGAGUUGUGAAAGCAAAGUCUUUUCCUUGAUGAAAUUAUUUUUCGAGCUUUUGGUUACCUUGAAUUGGGAAGAGCAAAAUAUUUUGCUCGAUGAUACCAUUUUUCAUUGUUUGGUUACUUGAAUUGUGUAAAACAAAAUAUUUUCCUUGAUGGAAUGGUUUUCCCAUAGUUCGGUUACUUGAAUUGUGGAAAAAAUACUUUUUAACAAGGGAAAUAUUUUCCAUCGAAAAGAGGAAAAUGACUUUGCCAAAGUCAUUGUUUUUACAAUUGGAAGUAUUCUAAAAUGGCUCCAUAUUACGUGUUUCAAUUGCUAUUAACCUUUAGUAUUCAGAGGUAACAUGAAAACACUAUCCUUAUACCCUAUACUAAUUUUAGAACAAUUAGCAUAUGUCACUUACUUUAAUACCAACCAAACACUGGCAAAUAAUCAGAAAAAAUGAAUUUUUGAAUAAAACAUUAAUCAACGGAAAUAUUUCAUCAUAACAAAUGCAAGGUAAUACUAGUACUUUUAAUAACUUGUCAUAUUCAAAUAUUAUGAUAACAUGAAACCCACUUGGUGGAAAUGCCAAAUAACCAUAAUUCAGUUAUGCACUUUGUAUUUUCCCUCUCUCUGCAUAUUCAACUUAUCAUAAAUUUGCCCUCUUUGUACAGGUCUUACUCAGUUGCCCACUUUGUACUUUUUGUUUUUCUUGGCUUAUUUUGUCUUUCUCGGUGUCUGGGUGUUUGUGUGUUUGAAGAAUAAGAAAUCUGUGCAUAGGAUUCAUGGGCUUAUGGCACUUUUGGUUAUAAUGAAGGCGUUGAAUUUGCUUUUCGCUGCUGAGGAUAAGCAUUAUGUUAAGGUUACUGGUACUGCACACGGAUGGGAUGUGUUGUUCUACAUUUUCCAGUCCAUACGUGUGGUUUUGCUUUUCACUGUUAUUGUUUUGAUCGGUACUGGGUGGUCGUUCUUGAAGCCCUUUUUGCAAGAGAGGGAGAAGAAGGUGCUGAUGAUUGUGAUUCCGCU
rnacentral:lncRNA from 1 species